AUUACUCAUAAAAAAGCUGUCUUUCACCUGCUCAAACAAGGAACAAAAUUCAUCCUUAACUCAUCUGUGCACUCUACGCAAUCCAUAUGAAUAUCUUAAUGCUACUAAAAUUUUGGUUGUGUGAUUCAUAUAUUGCAGAAUGCACAGCUCUGACAAGAUUCAUCUGCUGGGAUGCUCAACUGACCUGCUGUUCCAGUGCCCUGCUUCCUGUUGCUGUCCAGAGACUUGCUUCAAAAACAGCUUUAAGGCUCUAUGCCCCAGUAGGAUUUCUCAUCACCGUUUUCAGCAGAAGGAAGUUGUGGAGAGUCGUCAUCCUGAUCCCUUGGGGUUGGGUGUCUGGAUCUUUUGACCAUGCUUCGGACAGCUUUCCCCAUCUCCCUUCAAAGAAGAACUGGACAUCUUUAUCUUCAGGUGAGGCUGCUUAUUGUGGCAAGGUAGCCACAGGACAGAAAUUGCUCAUAUCAUCUACAGACAAUGUACUGUUUAAAAGGACCAACAGAAGUGGGAUAAUUGACUACUAAGCUCUGCCAAUACAGGGUCAGCUGGUCCUUCAUAUUUCCUCCUUCACGAAAGGUCUGCCAGAUGGUCCUGGGCCAGAAGGCUGAAGACAGAUGAUCUAAUAUUAUAAGAAAUUAUGGAUUGUGCAGGUAGUCAGCUGUCUGUAUAGUUGUUUAUAAGUUUGGGUAGCUAUGUUUGUUGCUUCCUAUACACUCAGGUAAUACUUAAUUCGUACUCGGAUUUCCGACGGUGUUGAAGACUAGUUAUAGUCUCAUAAUCAAACUCAAGAUGUUUAGUGUUCAGAGAGAGGGUAUAGAAUGGAAGACAUGGUUUCCAGAUGAUGUUUCAGGUCUAAACAUAAUUCCGGGAUAGAAUUGUAAGUUUUUAAGUUAGGAAUGAUGGUAGAGUACUUCAUCUAAUUGAUGAACAUGAUGGACUAGAUGUUAAUUGUCACAUCUAAUACUCUGUAAUUUACAUGAUUAUUAUGGUUUUGUUCCAUUUAUUUCUGAGAGAAGAGGUUUUUCAUUUGGACAGAAAAGGUGAGAUGCAGGGGGUGGUUCUGAUUCUAUGAUGGGGAAUCUGCGUGUGAACUCUGAAGGUCCUGUUUCCCAACUGGCUCUUGAUCUAUCAAUAAAGAUGCCAGCUAGUCAGCCCGCACCCUACCAUCCAGCCCCUGUAGGCCUCCCAGCCUGUAGUACAUGUCUAGGGUCAGUAACCCCUGACUGCCUCCAUGCUGGCUGUAUCCCUCUCCCCCCAGGAGCAGAAGCAGAUGCUGGGGGAGCAUCUGUUCCCACUUAUCCAAACAAUGCAUUCAAACCUGACUGGGAAAAUCACCGGGAUGCUGCUGGAAAUGGACAACUCUGAGCUGCUGCACAUGCUGGAGUCCCCUGAGUCUCUCCGUUCUAAGGUGGAUGAAGAAGCUGUGGCAGUCCUACAGGCUCAUCAUGUCAAGAAAGAAGCUGCCCAGAGGUGGGCACUGUUGCUCCUGCUACCUCUUAGAUAAGAAAAAAAGAGUUAAAAGCCAAAUAACCCCUUAUCACAUCCAGCUAAGUAAGGUCUGAAGAUGUCCUAGUUUGUCUGUGGACCUCCACACCAAGAACCAAGUUGCAA